rnacentral:rRNA from 1 species
UACGGGGGGGGCAAGCGUUGUUCGGAAUUACUGGGCGUAAAGGGCUCGUAGGUGGCCAACUAAGUCGGACGUGAAAUCCCUCAGCUUAACUGGGGAACUGCGUCCGAUACUGGAUGGCUUGAGUUUGGGAGAGGGAUGCGGAAUUCCAGGUGUAGCGGUGAAAUGCGUAGAUAUCUGGAGGAACACCGGCGGCGAAGGCGGCACUCUGGGCCGGUACUGACGCUGAGGAGCGAAAGCGUGGGUAGCAAACAGG